rnacentral:rRNA from 1 species
UGAGGAAUAUUGGUCAAUGGGCGGAAGCCUGAACCAGCCAUGCCGCGUGCAGGAAGACGGCCCUACGGGUUGUAAACUGCUUUUCUGCGGGAAGAACGGCCCCUACGUGUAGGGGUGUGACGGUACCGCAGGAAUAAGGAUCGGCUAACUCCGUGCCAGCAGCCGCGGUAAUACGGAGGAUCCGAGCGUUAUCCGGAUUUAAUGGGUUUAAAGGGUGCGUAGGCGGCUCCCUCAGUAAGCGGUGAAAUGGAUCGGCUCACCCGGUAACCUGCCGUUGAUACUGGGGAGCUUGAGUUGGGUUGAGGCAGGCGGAAUGUGCGGUGUAGCGGUUAAAUGCUGAGAUAUCGCACAGAACGCCGAUUGCGUAGGCAGCUUGCCAAGCCCACACUGACGCUGAGGCACGAAAGCGUGGGGAUCAAACA